AAUCCUACAGGUUAUAGCAGGGAGGAUGGCUGUCCCCACAUGAUCACAAGCUGCUGAGCUUGGCUAAAAGAAUGGAGCCCAUUAUGACUGAGGUGGAUGAGGGUAGGUGUGUGUGGGAAGGGGUGGGGGGAGGUGUUAAGGAGAGAAAAUGAGUUGAAAUUCAAGUAGCAGAGAUGUGAGAGAGUAGCUGGCGCCUGCUGUUAGACAGACCUGAUGAACUCUGAUAAACUCUGAGGCACUUUCCCCAUAGCCUUCUAAUCCUUGCCAGACAUAGAGAAACUUAGCCCAUGAUGGAAGGAGAAAGGGGAUUCACGAGGGGUUGAGGGAAAGCAAGGAGAACGGAGAGAAGGAAGCCGAGUUUCUAGUCUGAAGCUGAGAUGAUCCUGCCACGAAGGCCCCACGGGGAGUAAGCAGAGAGAGAUGAAGGCCUUUGCUUCAGGGACCACCCAGGGGCAGGGACCCCACAGCCACGCUGGAGGGAGAGGCCCACAAGUGCUAGGAUGAUUAAAGGACUUGGAGUAUCAUGGAGGCUCUCAGGAUAAUUUCAUUUUUGAUCCUUACAUCUUUGAUCCCUGGGACAAUGUUGUUCAGCAGAAAUGUCAAACUGGGAUCCACCUCUCUUCUGUGUGCUGCUUGAGCCAGAUUAAAAUGAAAUUGGGA